rnacentral:rRNA from 1 species
UCUUGGUCAUUUAGAGGAAUCAAAAGUCGUAAGAGGAAGUAAAAGUCGUAACCAAGGUAUCCGUCGGUGAACCAGCGGAGGGAUCAUUUCCGAGUUUACAACUCCCAAACCCAAUGUGAACGUUACCAAACUGUUGCCUCGGCGGGAUCUCUGCCCCGGGUGCGUCGCAGCCCCGGACCAAGGCGCCCGCCGGAGGACCAACCAAAACUCUUAUUGUAUACCCCCUCGCGGGUUUUUUUUAUAAUCUGAGCCUUCUCGGCGCCUCUCGUAGGCGUUUCGAAAAUGAAUCAAAACUUUCAACAACGGAUCUCUUGGUUCUGGCAUCGAUGAAGAACGCAGCGAAAUGCGAUAAGUAAUGUGAAUUGCAGAAUUCAGUGAAUCAUGCGAAUCUUUGAACGCACAUUGCGCCCGCCAGUAUUCUGGCGGGCAUGCCUGUCCGAGCGUCAUUUCAACCCUCGAACCCCUCCGGGGGGUCGGCGUUGGGGAUCGGCCCUGCCUUGGCGGUGGCCGUCUCCGAAAUACAGUGGCGGUCUCGCCGCAGCCUCUCCUGCGCAGUAGUAUUGCACACUCGCAUCUGGGAGCGCGGCGCGUCCACAGCCGUUAAACACCCAACUUCUGAAAUGUUGACCUCGCGAUCANGUAGGAAUACCCGCUGAACUUGAAGCAUAUCAAUAAGCGGAGGAAGCAUAUCAAUAAGCGGAGGAA